rnacentral:rRNA from 1 species
CAGCCGCCGCGGUAAUACGGAGGAUCCAAGCGUUAUCCGGAAUCAUUGGGUUUAAAGGGUCCGUAGGCGGUCUUGUAAGUCAGUGGUGAAAGCCCAUCGCUCAACGGUGGAACGGCCAUUGAUACUGCAGGACUUGAAUUAUUGGGAAGUAACUAGAAUAUGUAGUGUAGCGGUGAAAUGCUUAGAGAUUACAUGGAAUACCAAUUGCGAAGGCAGGUUACUACCAAUUGAUUGACGCUGAUGGACGAAAGCGUGGGUAGCGAACAGGAUUAGAUACCCGAGUAGUCCCUGUCUCUUAUAA